GUGGCCUAGUAGUUAGAGCAUCUACCUUAGAUGCAGGAGGUUGCAGGUUCAAAUCCCGGCCAAGUCA